rnacentral:rRNA from 1 species
AGAGUUUGAUCCUGGCUCAGAACGAACGCUGGCGGCAUGCUUAACACAUGCAAGUCGAACGCAUGGUUUCGGCCAUGAGUGGCGCACGGGUGAGUAGCGCGUGGGAACCUGCCCAGUCGUGGGGGAUAACCGAGGGAAACUUCGGCUAAUACCGCAUACGCCGGCCUGCUUGAGAGAGUUGGCCGGGAAAGAUUUAUCGCGAUUGGAGGGGCCCGCGUCGGAUUAGCUUGUUGGUGGGGUAACGGCCUACCAAGGCUAUGAUCCGUAGCUGGUCUGAGAGGAUGAUCAGCCACACUGGGACUGAGACACGGCCCAGACUCCUACGGGAGGCAGCAGUGGGGAAUAUUGGACAAUGGGGGCAACCCUGAUCCAGCAAUGCCGCGUGAGUGAGGAAGGCCUUCGGGUUGUAAAGCUCUUUCGCGCGCGACGAUGAUGACGGUAGCGCGAGAAGAAGCCCCGGCUAACUUCGUGCCAGCAGCCGCGGUAAUACGAAGGGGGCGAGCGUUGUUCGGAUUUACUGGGCGUAAAGGGCGCGCAGGCGGCGAGUUUUGUCAGGCGUGAAAGCCCCGGGCUCAACCUGGGAACUGCGCUUGAAACGGGCUUGCUGGAGACCGGGAGAGGAGAGUGGAAUUCCCAGUGUAGAGGUGAAAUUCGUAGAUAUUGGGAAGAACACCGGUGGCGAAGGCGGCUCUCUGGACCGGAUCUGACGCUGAGGCGCGAAAGCGUGGGGAGCAAACAGGAUUAGAUACCCCGGUAGUCC